AACGAACGCUGGCGGCAGGCCUAACACAUGCAAGUCGAACGCUCUAGCAAUAGAGAGCGGCAGACGGGUGAGUAACGCGUGGGAACCUUCCCAAUGGUGCAGAAUAGCCCAGGGAAACUUGGGGUAAUACUGCAUAAGCCCUUCGGGGGAAAGAUUUAUCGCCAUUGGAUGGGCCCGCGUCGGAUUAGCUAGUUGGUGAGGUAAUGGCUCACCAAGGCAACGAUCCGUAGCUGGUUUGAGAGAAUGACCAGCCACACUGGGACUGAGACACGGCCAAGACUCCUAGGGGAGGCAGCAGUGGGGAAUCUUGGACAAUGGGCGCAAGCCUGCUCCAGCCAUGCCGCGUGAGUGACGAAGGCCUUAGGGUUGUAAAGCGCUUUUGCCGGGGACGAUAAUGACGGUACCCGGAGAAUAAGUCCCGGCUAACUUCGUGCCAGCCGCCGCGGUAA
rnacentral:rRNA from 1 species